rnacentral:rRNA from 1 species
GAUGAACGCUGGCGGCGUGCCUAAUACAUGCAAGUCGAGCGAACAGAUGAGAAGCUUGCUUCUCUGAUGUUAGCGGCGGACGGGUGAGUAACACGUGGGUAACCUACCUAUAAGACUGGGAUAACUCCGGGAAACCGGGGCUAAUACCGGAUAAUAUUUUGAACCGCAUGGUUCAAUAGUGAAAGACGGUUUCGGCUGUCACUUAUAGAUGGACCCGCGCCGUAUUAGCUAGUUGGUAAGGUAACGGCUUACCAAGGCGACGAUACGUAGCCGACCUGAGAGGGUGAUCGGCCACACUGGAACUGAGACACGGUCCAGACUCCUACGGGAGGCAGCAGUAGGGAAUCUUCCGCAAUGGGCGAAAGCCUGACGGAGCAACGCCGCGUGAGUGAUGAAGGUCUUCGGAUUGUAAAACUCUGUUGUUAGGGAAGAACAAAUUUGUUAGUAACUGAACAAGUCUUGACGGUACCUAACCAGAAAGCCACGGCUAACUACGUGCCAGCAGCCGCGGUAAUACGUAGGUGGCAAGCGUUAUCCGGAAUUAUUGGGCGUAAAGCGCGCGUAGGCGGUUUCUUAAGUCUGAUGUGAAAGCCCACGGCUCAACCGUGGAGGGUCAUUGGAAACUGGGAAACUUGAGUGCAGAAGAGGAGAGUGGAAUUCCAUGUGUAGCGGUGAAAUGCGCAGAGAUAUGGAGGAACACCAGUGGCGAAGGCGGCUCUCUGGUCUGUAACUGACGCUGAUGUGCGAAAGCGUGGGGAUCAAACAGGAUUAGAUACCCUGGUAGUCCACGCCGUAAACGAUGAGUGCUAAGUGUUAGGGGGUUUCCGCCCCUUAGUGCUGCAGCUAACGCAUUAAGCACUCCGCCUGGGGAGUACGACCGCAAGGUUGAAACUCAAAGGAAUUGACGGGGACCCGCACAAGCGGUGGAGCAUGUGGUUUAAUUCGAAGCAACGCGAAGAACCUUACCAAAUCUUGACAUCCUUCGAUCGCUCUAGAGAUAGAGUCUUCCCCUUCGGGGGACAAAGUGACAGGUGGUGCAUGGUUGUCGUCAGCUCGUGUCGUGAGAUGUUGGGUUAAGUCCCGCAACGAGCGCAACCCUUAAGCUUAGUUGCCAUCAUUAAGUUGGGCACUCUAGGUUGACUGCCGGUGACAAACCGGAGGAAGGUGGGGAUGACGUCAAAUCAUCAUGCCCCUUAUGAUUUGGGCUACACACGUGCUACAAUGGAUAAUACAAAGGGCAGCGAAUCCGCGAGGCCAAGCAAAUCCCAUAAAAUUAUUCUCAGUUCGGAUUGUAGUCUGCAACUCGACUACAUGAAGCUGGAAUCGCUAGUAAUCGUAGAUCAGCAUGCUACGGUGAAUACGUUCCCGGGUCU